rnacentral:rRNA from 3 species
UGAGGGAAAGGCGAAAAGAACCCCGGCGAGGGGAGUGAAAAAGAACCUGAAACCGUGUACGUACAAGCAGUGGGAGCCCCACCACUAAGCCAGUGGUGAACUCCACAUACGCAUCCUUUGCUGAGGAUACGGUUAACGGAGCGAAAGCGACGUUCAACCUCAAAAGAAGCAGAGGGGGCUUAGUGGUGGGGUGACUGCGUACCUUUUGUAUAAUGGGUCAGCGACUUAUAUUCUGUAGCAAGGUUAACCGAAUAGGGGAGCCGGAGG